rnacentral:rRNA from 1 species
GACGAACGCUGGCGGCGCGCCUAACACAUGCAAGUCGAACGAGCGAGAGAGAGUUUGCUUUCUCGAGCGAGUGGCGAACGGGUGAGUAACGCGUGAGGAACCUGCCCUUCAGAGGGGGACAACAGUUGGAAACGACUGCUAAUACCGCAUAAAGACCACAGAGCCGCAUGGACUCGGGGGGUCAAAGGAGAAAUCCGCUGAAGGAUGGCCUCGCGUCCGAUUAGCUAGUUGGUGAGGUAACGGCUCACCAAGGCGACGAUCAGUAGCCGGUCUGAGAGGAUGAACGGCCACACUUGGGACUGAGAUACGGCCCAG